UUCUCCUUAUUUUCGUCCACCUC
rnacentral:snRNA from 1 species